AAAAUAAAAUUGAUUAUGAGUCACUAAUUUCUUUGUAAUCAAAAGAAAAUCUGGGUGUUUUUAAAAAAACACCCAGAUAUUUUCUUAAUUCUUACUAAUAUCUGCCUUGGUUAGAAAGCCUGAUCAGGUUGACUAUCAUAGCCAUGAAGCCUUUCCAUUCAUCUUUGUGUUGGCUGCUCCGUACUUAGGACAGCCAAAGUGAAUGGCUCUUCUUCUGGCGGUCUGAACUACUCGCAGUUUUGACAAAGGCCACUACAGCCCAUGUGCCUCAGAAUAAUCCUAGUCAUGUCACCAACCACCCUUCUGCCGAGACACCGCCUCCACCAGGCCUGGAAGUGACCUAGUACAAAAAUGACUUUUGGCGGAGACUGGGAGAUGAAAGGGUGUCAGCACACUGACUGUGGCCCAGCAACACUGCACCUGAUGCCUGUGACAAUCCACUCGCUUUAAAGACAAAGCAGAGAGAAGACUGGCAAAGCAGCAGAUCUGUAAUAAUAACCCCCAAAAGGGGUAGAACAGAACAGAGUGAACAACUAUAAAUUUUAGGUAAGUCCUUUUUUCCACAUUUAAAUCUGAAGGCAACUGAAUUCUGGUAUUUUCCCAAGCUACUGUAUGAAGAGGAUGCUGAAUCCAUUGUAAUACAGCAUAGUGCAAUGUAAAGACUCAUGUUUGCCAAUUCUGACACACUCCCAAAAUAUACCCCCAAAUGCAAUUUUAUUUCUGUCCUGGAGGCUGGGUGCCAAGGAUCAGACAGAAACACAGGUACAUAUAAGCUGCAAGGUUAUGGUCAACAGACUCUGAAAACUGGAAAACUGCAGACACAGUGAGGCCGGCAGAGUCCCAGCCAUAGCACCUUUUGGACUUGGGGUGGAAGCAGGUGGGUUUUAGCAGCAGGGAUACUGAAAAUCGGACUCCAGGAGUGGCCUUCUGAACUUACGGAACAGACUGAACAUUCACAGUAAAAAUGUACCUGAAACUGACAGAUACUCAGAGGAAGAAAAAGUUUCUAACUACUUCUAAUCUUACAUUUUGAAUCUCCAGUCACUCUCUGAAGAGAGGCUUAGAGUUGCAGUAUCACUAUGAAGAGGCACAGUCUCUACAUCACUCACCUGCACACAAGCCAUCAAAGCUGUUCCUUCCCAGAUUCCAUCAACCCUGCCACUUCCUGCCAAGUCUGAACUGAGGCUUAGAGCCAAAACUCACUUUUAGUAUUACCUCAGGUACAUAGUUUGUGGGAGAACACUCAAGAAAUCAUCCAUCUCUUAGAAAUCACUGCUUCGAGUUGCUUCGAGUUGCUUCGAGUAGAGGUAUCCUGGUUAAUGCACAGCAUGGUGUGACCAGAGGAAAAGCAAGCAUUGUAUGAAUGCAGUGCUAACCAACACAAAUUGAACCUUUUCUUGUUCAAAGAACUUGUUUUCCAAGUACUUUUUGGUGUGUGAACUGAAAUAUCCAGUUUUAUUCAAACAUUGUAAUGGUGAAUGUUUUAUAAAGUACUUGUUCUAAUACUAACAUGUACUAUAAAUUCUUAAUUGAGUUAUAUCUUGAUGUGGUCAAAAUGUAUAUUAACUGUAUUUAUACAAAUGACACAGAGCUAAGCACAAUAAAUUGAUUAAACA